GGCGGAUGUAGCCAGUGGAUCAAGGCAGUGGAUUGUGAAUCCACCAUGCGC
rnacentral:tRNA from 1 species